AACGAACGCUGGCGGCAUGCCUAACACAUGCCAGUCGAACGAGACCUUCGGGUCUAGUGGCGCACGGGUGCGUAACGCGUGGGAACCUGCCCUUAGGUUCGGAAUAACUCCCCGAAAGGGGUGCUAAUACCGGAUAAUGUCUUCGGACCAAAGAUUUAUCGCCUUUGGAUGGGCCCGCGUUGGAUUAGCUGGUUGGUAGGGUAAAAGCCUACCAAGGCGACGAUCCAUAGCUGGUCUGAGAGGAGGAUCAGCCACACUGGGACUGAGACACGGCCCAGACUCCUACGGGAGGCAGCAGUGGGGAAUAUUGGACGAUGGGCGAAAGCCUGAUCCAGCAAUGCCGCGUGAGUGAUGAAGGCCUUAGGGUUGUAAAGCUCUUUUACCCGGGAUGAUAAUGACAGUACCGGGAGAAUAAGCUCCGGCUAACUCCGUG
rnacentral:rRNA from 1 species